UAGUCCACGCCCUAAACGAUGUUAACUGGAUGUUUGUCACGUAGUGAUGAGCAUCUGAGGGAAACCAUUAAGUUAUCCGCCUGGGGAGUACGGUCGCAAGAUUAAAACUCAAAGGAAUUGACGGGGGCCUGCACAAGCGGUGGAGCAUGUGGUUUAAUUCGACGCAACGCGCAGAACCUUACCAGCUUUUGACAUCCUGGUCGCGGAUUUGGGAGACCAUUUCCUUCAGUUCGGCUGGACCAGUGACAGGUGCUGCAUGGCUGUCGUCAGCUCGUGUCGUGAGAUGUUGGGUUAAGUCCCGCAACGAGCGCAACCCUUGCCGAUAGUUGCCAGCGGUUUGGCCGGGCACUCUAUCGGGACUGCCGGUGUUAAACCGGAGGAAGGUGGGGAUGACGUCAAGUCCUCAUGGCCCUUAUGCCCAGGGCUACACACGUGCUACAAUGGACUGUACAGAGGGCCGCGAAGCCGCGAGGUGGAGCUAAUCUCAGAAAACAGUCCUCAGUUU
rnacentral:rRNA from 1 species